UAAUAAGUGUUUUAUGGCACUUUUUAAAUCCAUAUCCACCUUGUGUGCAAUGUCAGUCGAUCUUCUUCAUGGAGAUCGACCAAACAUCAACCUUUAUUUUUUAACUCUUUGUCUGAAAAAUAUUAUGAAUAAACAAUUCAAAGUA
rnacentral:misc_RNA from 1 species